rnacentral:rRNA from 1 species
CAAAGUCAUGGUUAAGUGGGAAACGAUGUGGGAAGGCACAGACAGCCAGGAUGUUGGCUUAGAAGCAGCCAUCAUUUAAAGAAAGCGUAAUAGCUCACUGGUCGAGUCGGCCUGCGCGGAAGAUGUAACGGGGCUAAACCAUGCACCGAAGCUGCGGCAGCGACACUAAGUGUUGUUGGGUAGGGGAGCGUUCUGUAAGCCUGCGAAGGUGGCCUGUGAGGGCUGCUGGAGGUAUCAGAAGUGCGAAUGCUGACAUAAGUAACGAUAAAGCGGGUGAAAAGCCCGCUCGCCGGAAGACCAAGGGUUCCUGUCCAACGUUAAUCGGGGCAGGGUGAGUCGACCCCUAAGGCGAGGCCGAAAGGCGUAGUCGAUGGGAAACAGGUUAAUAUUCCUGUACUUGGUGUUACUGCGAAGGGGGGACGGAGAAGGCUAUGUUAGCCGGGCGACGGUUGUCCCGGUUUAAGCAUGUAGGCGGAGGUUCCAGGUAAAUCCGGUACCUUUUAACGCUGAGGUGUGAUGACGAGGCACUACGGUGCUGAAGUAACAAAUGCCCUGCUUCCAGGAAAAGCCUCUAAGCAUCAGGUAACAUCAAAUCGUACCCCAAACCGACACAGGUGGUCAGGUAGAGAAUACCAAGGCGCUUGAGAGAACUCGGGUGAAGGAACUAGGCAAAAUGGUGCCGUAACUUCGGGAGAAGGCACGCUGGUGUGUAGGUGAAGUCCCUGCGGACGGAGCUGAGACCAGUCGAAGAUACCAGCUGGCUGCAACUGUUUAUUAAAAACACAGCACUGUGCAAACACGAAAGUGGACGUAUACGGUGUGACGCCUGCCCGGUGCCGGAAGGUUAAUUGAUGGGGUUAUCCGUAAGGAGAAGCUCUUGAUCGAAGCCCCGGUAAACGGCGGCCGUAACUAUAACGGUCCUAAGGUAGCGAAAUUCCUUGUCGGGUAAGUUCCGACCUGCACGAAUGGCGUAAUGAUGGCCAGGCUGUCUCCACCAGAGACUCAGUGAAAUUGAACUCGCUGUGAAGAUGCAGUGUACCCGCGGCAAGACGGAAAGACCCCGUGAACCUUUACUAUAGCUUGACACUGAACAUUGAGCCUUGAUGUGUAGGAUAGGUGGGAGGCUUUGAAGCGUGGACGCCAGUCUGCGUGGAGCCAACCUUGAAAUACCACCCUUUAAUGUUUGAUGUUCUAACGUAGGCCCCUAAUCGGGGUUGCGGACAGUGUCUGGUGGGUAGUUUGACUGGGGCGGUCUCCUCCCAAAGAGUAACGGAGGAGCACGAAGGUUAGCUAAUCCUGGUCGGACAUCAGGAGGUUAGUGCAAUGGCAUAAGCUAGCUUGACUGCGAGCGUGACGGCGCGAGCAGGUGCGAAAGCAGGUCAUAGUGAUCCGGUGGUUCUGAAUGGAAGGGCCAUCGCUCAACGGAUAAAAGGUACUCCGGGGAUAACAGGCUGAUACCGCCCAAGAGUUCAUAUCGACGGCGGUGUUUGGCACCUCGAUGUCGGCUCAUCACAUCCUGGGGCUGAAGUAGGUCCCAAGGGUAUGGCUGUUCGCCAUUUAAAGUGGUACGCGAGCUGGGUUUAGAACGUCGUGAGACAGUUCGGUCCCUAUCUGCCGUGGGCGCUGGAGAAUUGAGGGGGGCUGCUCCUAGUACGAGAGG